AUUUGAUGGUGUGGGCAUUUACGUAAGACGUCUCUAAAACGCUCCCAAGUCUCGAAAAAUAGUUCCCCGUUCAACUGUGAGAAACUAGUGAUGGCUCGCCUAAGCU